GACGCCGCGUGAGGGAUGACGGCCUUCGGGUUGUAAACCUCUUUCAGUAGGGAAGAAGCGAAAGUGACGGUACCUGCAGAAGAAGCGCCGGCUAACUACGUGCCAGCAGCCGCGGUAAUACGUAGGGCGCAAGCGUUAUCCGGAAUUAUUGGGCGUAAAGAGCUCGUAGGCGGUUUGUCGCGUCUGCCGUGAAAGUCCGGGGCUCAACCCCGGAUCUGCGGUGGGUACGGGCAGACUAGAGUGAUGUAGGGAGACUGGAAUUCCUGGUGUAGCGGUGAAAUGCGCAGAUAUCAGGAGGAACACCGAUGGCGAAGGCAGGUCUCUGGGCAUUAACUGACGCUGAGGAGCGAAAGCAUGGGGAGCGAACAGGAUUAGAUACCCUGGUAGUCCAUGCCGUAAACGUUGGGCACUAGAUGUGGGGGACAUUCCACGUUUUCCGCGUCGUACUAACGCAUUAAGUGCCCCGCC
rnacentral:rRNA from 1 species